UCUUCCGCAAUGGACGAAAGUCUGACGGAGCAACGCCGCGUGAGUGAUGAAGGUUUUCGGAUCGUAAAACUACGUUGUUAGGGAAGAACAAGUACCGUUCGAAUAGGGCGGCACCUUGACGGUACCUAACCAGCAAGCCACGGCUACCUAAGUGCCAGCCGCCGCGGUAAUACGUAGGUGGCAAGCGUUGUCCGGAAUUAUUGGGCGUAAAGCGCGCGCAGGCGGUUUCUUAAGUCGGAUGUGAAAGCCCCCGGCUCAACCGGGGAGGGUCAUUGGAAACUGGGGAACUUGAGUGCAGAAGAGGAGAGUGGAAUUCCACGUGUAGCGGUGAAAUGCGUAGAGAUGUGGAGGAACACCAGUGGCGAAGGCGACUCUCUGGUCUGUAACUGACGCUGAGGCGCGAAAGCGUGGGGAGCGAACAGG
rnacentral:rRNA from 1 species